rnacentral:rRNA from 1 species
CAUGAAGUUGGAAUCACUAGUAAUCGCGGAUCAGCAUGCCGCGGUGAAUGCGUUCUCGGGCCUUGUACACACCGCCCGUCACACCAUGAGAGUCGGGAACACCCGAAGUCCGUAGCCUAACCGCAAGGGGGCGCGGCCGAAGGUGGGCUCGAUAAUUGGGGUGAAGUCGUAACAAGGUAAC